UCCUACGGGAGGCAGCAGUGGGGAAUAUUGCACAAUGGGCGCAAGCCUGAUGCAGCCAUGCCGCGUGUGUGAAGAAGGCCUUCGGGUUGUAAAGCACUUUCAGUCGUGAGGAAGGUAGUGUAGUUAAUAGCUGCAUUAUUUGACGUUAGCGACAGAAGAAGCACCGGCUAACUCCGUGCCAGCAGCCGCGGUAAUACGGAGGGUGCGAGCGUUAAUCGGAAUUACUGGGCGUAAAGCGCAUGCAGGUGGUUUGUUAAGUCAGAUGUGAAAGCCCGGGGCUCAACCUCGGAAUAGCAUUUGAAACUGGCAGACUAGAGUACUGUAGAGGGGGGUAGAAUUUCAGGUGUAGCGGUGAAAUGCGUAGAGAUCUGAAGGAAUACCGGUGGCGAAGGCGGCCCCCUGGACAGAUACUGACACUCAGAUGCGAAAGCGUGGGGAGCAAACAGGAUUAGAUACCCUGGUAGUCCACGCCGUAAACGAUGUCUACUUGGAGGUUGUGGCCUUGAGCCGUGGCUUUCGGAGCUAACGCGUUAAGUAGACCGCCUGGGGAGUACGGUCGCAAGAUUAAAACUCAAAUGAAUUGACGGA
rnacentral:rRNA from 1 species